rnacentral:rRNA from 1 species
UACGGGUGAGGCAAGCGUUGUUCGGAAUCAUUGGGCUUAAAGCGCGUGUAGGCGGCGGCGUAAGUACUUUGUGAAAUCCCUUCUCUCAAUGGAGGAAUUGCUUGGUAUACUGCGUUGCUUGAGGUAGGUAGGGGUGCUUGGAACUCUAGGUGGAGCGGUGAAAUGCGUAGAUAUCUAGAGGAACGCCAGUGGCGAAAGCGGAGCACUGGGCCUAUCCUGACGCUGAGACGCGAAAGCGUGGGUAGCAAACGGG